rnacentral:rRNA from 1 species
UAACGCGUGAGAAUCUAGCUUCAGGUUCGGGACAACAGAGGGAACCGCUGCUAAUACCGGAUGCGCCUAAAGGUAAAAGAUUAAUUGCCUGAAGAUGAGCUCGCGGCCGAUUAGCUAGUUGGUGGGGUUAUAGCCUACCAAGGCGACGAUCGGUAGCUGGUCUGAGAGGACGAUCAGCCACACUGGGACUGAGACACGGCCCAGACUCCUACGGGAGGCAGCAGUGGGGAAUUUUCCGCAAUGGGCGAAAGCCUGACGGAGCAAGACCGCGUGAGGGAGGAAGGCUCUUGGGUUGUAAACCUCUUUUAUCAGGGAAUAAUCAAUGAAGGUACCUGAGGAAUCAGCAUCGGCUAACUCCGUGCCAGCAGCCGCGGUAAUACGGAGGAUGCAAGCGUUAUCCGGAAUCAUUGGGCGUAAAGCGUCCGCAGGUGGUAGUUCAAGUCGAUUGUCAAAGGCAGUAGCUUAACUACUGACAGGCAGUGGAAACUGAAAGACUAGAGUGCGGUAGGGGUAGAGGGAAUUCCCGGUGUAGCGGUGAAAUGCGUAGAGAUCGGGAAGAACACCAGUGGCGAAAGCGCUCUGCUGGACCGGCACUGACACUGAGGGACGAAAGCUAGGGGAGCGAAUGGGAUUAGAUACCCCC